AAUUAUUAUAUUUAAUUUAAAAUUAAAAUUUAUUUAAUGAGGCUGGGAAAUUUUUAAAAUAAACUAGGAUUAGAUACCCUAUUAUUAAAAAUUUAAUGUAAAAAAUUAAAUUACUAAAAGUUAUGUUCUCUAAAAUUAAAAAAUUUGGCGGUAUUUUAGUCUGUUCAGAGGAACCUGUUUCAUAAAUGAUAAUCCACGAUUAAUUGGACUUUAUUUUUAAAUUUGUAUAUCGUUGUGUAAAGAAUAUUUUUCAAGAAUUAAAAAUGUUCUUUAAUUUUUAUUAAAUGUUAACUCAGAUCAAGGUGUAGUUAAUAAUAAAGGGAAAAUGGGUUACAUUAAAUUGAUUUUUUGUAUUAUUUAUUAAAAUUUUAAUUAAAUUGGAUUUGAAAGUAAUUAUUUUGAAUUUUUUAUAAUGAUUGAAGCUCUAAAAUAUGCACAUAUUGCCCGUCGCUUUCAUUAAGGUGAAAUAAGUCGUAACAAAGUAGACUUAUUGGAAAAUGAGUCUA
rnacentral:rRNA from 1 species